rnacentral:rRNA from 1 species
UCAUAAUCAGUGAAAACGAGUAGGGCGGGACACGUGAUAUCCUGUCUGAAUAUGGGGGGACCAUCCUCCAAGGCUAAAUACUACUGACUGACCGAUAGUGAACCAGUACCGUGAGGGAAAGGCGAAAAGAACCCCUGUGAGGGGAGUGAAAUAGAACCUGAAACCGUGUACGUACAAGCAGUAGGAGCACCUUCGUGGUGUGACUGCGUACCUUUUGUAUAAUGGGUCAGCGACUUAAUUUUAGUAGCAAGGUUAACCGUUUAGGGGAGCCGUAGGGAAACCGAGUCUUAACUGGGCGUACAGUUGCUAGGAUUAGACCCGAAACCAGGUGAUCUAGCCAUGGGCAGGUUGAAGGUUGAGUAACAUCAACUGGAGGACCGAACCGACUAAUGUUGAAAAAUUAGCGGAUGACUUGUGGCUAGGGGUGAAAGGCCAAUCAAACCUGGAGAUAGCUGGUUCUCCCCGAAAGCUAUUUAGGUAGCGCCUCGGACGAAUACUACUGGGGGUAGAGCACUGUUAAGGCUAGGGGGUCAUCCCGACUUACCAACCCUUUGCAAACUCCGAAUACCAGUAAGUACUAUCCGGGAGACACACGGCGGGUGCUAACGUCCGUCGUGGAGAGGGAAACAACCCAGACCGCCAGCUAAGGUCCCAAAGUAUAGCUAAGUGGGAAACGAUGUGGGAAGGCUCAGACAGCCAGGAUGUUGGCUUAGAAGCAGCCAUCAUUUAAAGAAAGCGUAAUAGCUCACUGGUCGAGUCGGCCUGCGCGGAAGAUGUAACGGGGCUAAGCUAUACACCGAAGCUGCGGCUACGUACCUUAGGGUAUGUGGGGUAGGGGAGCGUUCUGUAAGCCGUUGAAGGUGGUCUGUAAGGGCUGCUGGAGGUAUCAGAAGUGCGAAUGCUGACAUGAGUAACGAUAAAGGGAGUGAAAAACUCCCUCGCCGGAAGACCAAGGGUUCCUGUCCAACGUUAAUCGGGGCAGGGUAAGUCGACUCCUAAGGCGAGGCCGAAAGGCGUAGUCGAUGGGAAACGGGUUAAUAUUCCCGUACUUCUUACAAUUGCGAUGGGGGGACGGAGAAGGCUAGGUGGGCCUGGCGACGGUUGUCCAGGUUCAAGUAUGUAGGCGGAAAGUUUAGGUAAAUCCGGACUUUC